ACGUCUCACGGGAACCCCGGAUACUGGGGAUAAUACCCCAUAGGUUAGGGUGGCUGGAAUGCCCCCUAGCUCAAAGGUCCGCCGCCACAGGAUGGGUCUGCGGCCGAUUAGGUUGUUGUUGGGGUAACGGCCCAACAAGCCUUUGAUCGGUACGGGUUGUGGGAGCAAGAGCCCGGAGAUGGAUUCUGAGACACGAAUCCAGGCCCUACGGGGCGCAGCAGGCGCGAAAACUUUACAAUGCGAGAAAUCGUGAUAAGGGAACCCCGAGUGCCCGUAAAUUCGGGCUGUCCGCCAGUGCAAAAAACUGGUGAAGAAAGAGCCGGGCAAGACCGGUGCCAGCAGCCGCGGUAAUACGAU
rnacentral:rRNA from 1 species